GAGGAUAUAGCUCAAGUAGUAGAGCGCUUGCUUAGCAUACACAAGGUCCUGGGUUCAACCCCCAGUAUCUCCU
rfam:Camelus ferus unplaced genomic scaffold scaffold1262, whole genome shotgun sequence.